rnacentral:lncRNA from 1 species
GUUCUGCGCCGGCCUCAAAAUGGCCGCCUUCUGGCGUAUCUGGCGCUGUUGAAUGGAGAAAGCUUUAUUGUUCCCUUCGGGCAGGAGUGUUCGUGUCCUCUAUGGCGCUGUCAAUAAAGAACGGCAGUUUGAAUCGGUGCUGAACAGAGGGGCGCGCCGAGACCCUUCCGCGAGGCAAACUUCGCUGCACUCUGCCGAGUCCCAGCCGCCUUACCCAGUCCCGGGACGUGGACCCCCGGGGCGGCCCCAUCCCCGAGCGCAGGCUCUCUCGGGGAGAGGCCACGGGGUCCCGGCUGAGGUGCUUGGCCGGGCCUAGUUCCCGCUUGGGGCCUGCUCUCUGCCAGGGACCUGCCCACGCCCCUCCAUCGCCUUCUACUUGGCGCGUUCAGAGGCCUUUCCUCGCAGCUGUUUCUUGCAAUCUCACCCCUCUCCGUCGCCGCCAAGUCCCUGCGCCCGGUCUUGGCAAAUCAUGGCCUUGAGCCAAAAUUGCCCCCCUCACUCCCCUCCCGUUUUUGUAUGCUUGGAGCUAGGAAGGUUUUUACUUUUUUUUUUUUCUUAAUGGUUGGGGAGAAUAUUUCGCAUAAUUUGUGAUUUACUUGAAAUCAAAUCCCGGUGUCCAUAAAUGAAGCUUUCUUGGAACCCAGCCGUGUUCAUUGUUGAUGUUUUGCCUGUGGCCGCUUUCCUGCUACAAGAGCGAAGUUGAUGAGCUGUAACAGUAUCGAAUGGCUUUGACACCUUGAUCCAGACAGCCGAAAAUAGUUUUAUCUGGCCUUUCUUGUAUAUGGGGCUCCAGCUAUAGGCACAAGUAGCCUGGGUCAGUGUUGUCCUCUGGUCCCUUCUCACUGUGUGGCAAACUCAAGUUAACAGUUGCCCUAUAAACCCAGAGCUUUUUAGGUGACAAAACGUUGGCUUCCCUUAUCUUUUCUAGUCUUGCUGAUUUAUUAUUCAAAGUGGAAUUGUUUCUCCACGUUGAAUAACGAUAAUACCAUCCAACCAGCGACUACAGUAAGCCAGAUGCUUGUUUACAUUCACACGCGGCCUUUUUGUACCAGCAACUCUUUGUAAGUGCCCAUGUGUAUAUUUUGCUAAAGGGGAGGAAGGCCGGAUUCAGAGAGACUUAAGCUGUUUACUAGAUUAUAGGUCUGGCAAGUUGAGCUCUUCCCUGGGAGCCCGCUACCUGGGGACCCACGUCAUAUAGCGGGAACUUCUUUCAGAUCUCUCAACCUGGGGCUUUUGGUUCUUCUUUGGAAUCGAAUCCAAAUCUUUGUAUGCAUUGUGGAGAUUUAAUUACAACCUCAAAAUGAAAAUUUUCUCUGCUUGGCUAAAUCAUCAAACUUCUGCCAUAUCCCACUGUCUAAUUUAGAGGUUGUUCUUUUAUAGCAGUUGUUCCCAAAUCUAACCAUUCAUCACUAGUUUAACAUAUUUUCAGAGCACUCCAUGAUUUUGCAUUUUGUUAAUCAUUGCAUGCAUUUGGUUAAUAAUUCAGUAUUCAUCAAGCACCUACGGAUAUACUUGCAAUGACUCAAAUCUCUGGAAAUACAGUGGUGAACAAAAUCAACAUGAUCUCUGCCCUUCCGUGGGAUUUAGAUUUUAUAGGGGCUUGGACAGGUAAACAAUUUCGUAUAGAGCUAUCAUAGCAUCAUAAUAAUAUAAUUAGUAGUUAAUAUUUAUUGAGUGAUUGCCAAGGACUGCCCUAUGUGCUUCAUUUCCAUGGCCUAUCAUUUAAUCCUCACACCAAUGCUGCGACCUAAGUAGUAGUAAUAUUCCCAUUUUAAAGAUGAGGAAACAGAUGUCCAGGGUUACAUAGCUAAUGCAUAAAGGAGCUGGGAUCCAAUCCUAAACUGAUCACACUCACCAUCCUGUAUUAUUCCAUCUGUUUAUUAUCUUUCCUGCUUUCCUCAAGAGCAGAGACCACGCCUUAACUGUUCUUGUAUCAGCUGCUAGCCAGUGCCCACAACCUGGCAUUUGGUAGAUAGUAAAUAAAUGCAGGCUAUUCAUUGAGCAAAUAUUUGAGGGCCAGCUGUGUACCAGGAACACCUAUGCUAGGCCCCGUGUUUACCAGGGUGGAACAUGGCCUUAAAACCUAGGGUCUGGAGUUCCCAUCAUGACGCAGUGGUUAGCGAAUCCGACUGGGAACCAUGAGGUUGCGGGUUCGGUCCCUGCCCUUGCUCAGUGGGUUAAGGAUCCGGCGUUGCCAUGAGCUGUGGUGUAGGUUGCAGACUCGGCUCGGAUCCCGCGUUGCUGUGGCUCUGGCAUAGGCCGGCGGCUACAGCUCUGAUUAGACCCCUACCCUGGGAACCUCCAUAUGCCGUGGGAGCGGCCCAAGAAAU